UUGGAAUUUUUUGGGAAUUUUGGGCAGAAAUUUUGGUUUUUUCUCCCUCAGGCGUCUCAAGGACCUCCCCGAUUGGAGCUUCGCAGACGGACGCCCCUCCCCCCCCUGGAGGGGACAAAUCCGGAGACGCCGCGAGAACGGAGAAAUUGUGCUCCGCAUCCGCGCCCUCAGCAAAUCCCUGGAAAUGGCGAAGAAAACAGAGAGAGG